GCACUCUCACAUAUAACCUUUGGGUUAAAAUGUGGAAUUGGGAUGCGCCGGUUAUUAUAACGGCCCUUAAAUUCAGUUCUUGGCUGCUUCCUACUACAGCAGUUUGGCCUAAUAGUUUUGAGUCUUCGAUUCAAAUCUUUGGCUAACAUUUGCUUCAGGAUGUCAGUCUUGAUAUACAGAAAUCUCAUUCAAA
rnacentral:misc_RNA from 1 species